AAGAGUACGUGAAACCGUUCAGAGGUAAACGGAUGGGACCGCAACCUCCCCCGUGGAAUUCAACCCUUGGCUCGUCGGUCUCGGCGGGUUCCGGAUCGCAAGACCGGGCCCGUCGGGAGCCGUCUGUCGGGGGCGCAUUUUUCCGGGGGUGAGCCACGACCGGUUCGUCGUCGGUCAGAAGCCCGCCGGGAAGGUAGCCUCCCUCGGGAGGUGUUAUAGCCCGGCGGCGUGUUGGCCCGAUGACGGACUGAGGGACGCCCGCCGCUGUAGGGGCCCCCGGACCGCCUGCCCGUUCGACUGGGAGGGACUGUUCUCAGUGCCUCUCGACCGCGGGUUUGCGCGUCCGGGGUCCACCCCUGCCGCUCUUAGGGUCUGUGGCUGCUCGGUCGGCUCCCUAUCCGACCCGUCUUGAAACACGGACCAAGGAGUCUAACAUGUGUGCGAGUCAUGGGGUUCUACGAAACCUAAAGACGCAAUGAAAGUGAAGGCCUUCCGGUUGGUUGGCCUAGGUCGGAUCCCUUCCCUCGGGAGGGGCGCAAGACUGGCCCGUCUCGGAGGCAUUGUUCUCGAGGCGGAGCAAGAGUACACACGUUGGGACCCGAAAGAUGGUGAACUAUGCCUGAGUAGGACGAAGCCAGAGGAAACUCUGGUGGAGGUCCGUAGCGAUUCUGACGUGCAAAUCGAUCGUCAAACCUGGGUAUAGGGGCGAAAGACUAAUCGAACCAUCUAGUAGCUGGUUCCCU
rnacentral:rRNA from 1 species